AGGGAACGUGAGCUGGGUUUAGACCGUCGUGAGACAGGUUAGUUUUACCCUACUGAUGAAUGUUGUCGCAAUAGUAAUUGAACUUAGUACGAGAGGAACCGUUCAUUCAGAUAAUUGGUUUUUGCGGCUGUCCGACCGGGCAGUGCCGCGAAGCUACCAUCUGCUGGAUAAUAGCUGAACGCCUCUAAGUUAGAAUCCAUGCCAGAACGGGACGAUUUUCUCCAGCACGUCGUACGAGGAUACGAAU
rnacentral:rRNA from 1 species